UGCUCCAGUGGUGCAGCAAACUUUCUCUUGCGUUUCCGGUUCUAACACAAGGACCUGGAAUUGUUUUUUCAUAUUUUUUAUUCACACUGUGUUCCACUCUUCUGAAAGGUUUUAGAAGCCAAGAAAAAAAUACAGUGAAACGGUGCCGUGGUACAUAAUGUGGAAAUCCUGAAUCUUUCCAUACAGGAUCUGACUGCAGGACACGAGUCAUCGGGAUCUGACAUGACAUUGCACUGAUCGCCCCUUUUUGUCAUCCGGACCAAUGGUUUCCAACCUUUUUGACUUGAAACAAGGCCUUGGUUUCGAUGUGUGUUGACAUGGAAUGCUGAACAUGAAACACCGUGACCUUGUGACGCAAGAAACGGCCAUCUGUAAACAAACUGGAGCUACAUCUACUCCCAUGAGACACUGCGG